rnacentral:tRNA from 1 species
GGAAGGUAUUCGUGCCCGGUGGCACGGCCGGGCUUCAAACCCGGUUGGGGGCGUCAGACGCUCCCAGGUAGGUUCGACUCCUGCUGCUUUCC